GACGAACGCUGGCGGCGUGCCUAAUACAUGCAAGUAGAACGGAGUGGCGAACGGGUGAGUAAUGUAUCGGAACGUGCCCAGUAGCGGGGGAUAACUACGCGAAAGCGUAGCUAUUUCCGCCUACUAUUCGUGCGGUCUAUAUCGUAUUAGCUAGCUGGUGGGUUAACGGCUCACCAAGGCGACGAUCCGUAGCUGGUUUGGGAGGCUGACCAGCCACACUGGAACUGAGACACGGCCCAGACUCCUACGGGAGGCAGCAGUGGGGAAUUUUGGACAAUGGGGGAAACCCUGAUCCAGCCAUCCCGCGUGUGUGAUGAAGGCCUUCGGGUUGUAAAGCACUUUUGGCAGGGAGGCGGUACCUGAAGAAUAAGCACCGGCUAACUCCGUGCCAGCAGCCGCGGUAAUAG
rnacentral:rRNA from 1 species